rnacentral:rRNA from 1 species
UCGCGUUUUCGGAGCGGCCGAUAUCGGAUUAGCUAGUAGGUGAGGUAAAGGCUCACCUAGGCGACGAUCCGUAGCUGGUCUGAGAGGACGACCAGCCACACUGGAACUGAGACACGGUCCAGACUCCUACGGGAGGCAGCAGUGGGGAAUUUUGGACGAUGGGCGAAAGCCUGAUCCAGCCAUGCCGCGUGAGUGAAGAAGGCCUUCGGGUUGUAAAGCUCUUUCAGCCGGAAAGAAAACGCAUGGGUUAAUAACCUGUGUGGAUGACGGUACCGGAAGAAGAAGCACCGGCUAACUACGUGCCAGCAGCCGCGGUAAUACGUAGGGUGCGAGCGUUAAUCGGAAUUACUGGGCGUAAAGCGUGCGCAGGCGGUUUUGUAAGACAGAUGUGAAAUCCCCGGGCUUAACCUGGGAACUGCAUUUGUGACUGCAAGGCUAGAGUACGGCAGAGGGGGGUAGAAUUCCACGUGUAGCAGUGAAAUGCGUAGAUAUGUGGAGGAAUACCGAUGGCGAAGGCAGCCCCCUGGGUCGAUACUGACGCUCAUGCACGAAAGCGUGGGGAGCAAACAGGAUUAGAUACCCUGGUAGUCCACGCCCUAAACGAUGUCAACUAGGUGUUGGGGGAGGAGACUUCCUUAG